rnacentral:tRNA from 1 species
GGAUGUAGCUCAGUGGUAGAGUGCUUGCCUAGCAUGCAUGAGGCCCUGGCUUCCAUCUCCAGCACCA